UGGGGAAUCUUGCGCAAUGGCCGAAAGGCUGACGCAGCGACGCCGCGUGUGGGAGGACGCCUUUCGGGGUGUAAACCACUGUUGCCCGGGACGAACAGCGCUUUUCGAGGCGUCUGACGGUACCGGGUGAGGAAGCACCGGCUAACUCCGUGCCAGCAGCCGCGGUAAUACGGAGGGUGCGAGCGUUGUCCGGAAUCAUUGGGCGUAAAGGGCGCGUAGGCGGCCCCGGCAGUCGGUGGUGAAAGCGCGGGGCUCAACCCCGCGUCGGCCACCGAUACUCUGGGGCUGGAGCACUGUAGAGGCAGGCGGAAUUCCGGGUGUAGCGGUGGAAUGCGUAGAGAUCCGGAAGAACACCGGUGGCGAAGGCGGCCUGCUGGGCAGUAGCUGACGCUGAGGCGCGACAGCGUGGGGAGCAAAC
rnacentral:rRNA from 1 species